GCUCAGAUUGAACGCUAGCGGGAUGCCUUACACAUGCAAGUCGAACGGCAGCACGGACUUCGGUCUGGUGGCGAGUGGCGAACGGGUGAGUAAUGUAUCGGAACGUGCCUAGUAGCGGGGGAUAACUACGCGAAAGCGUAGCUAAUACCGCAUACGCCCUACGGGGGAAAGCAGGGGAUCGCAAGACCUUGCACUAUUAGAGCGGCCGAUAUCGGAUUAGCUAGUUGGUGGGGUAACGGCUCACCAAGGCGACGAUCCGUAGCUGGUUUGAGAGGACGACCAGCCACACUGGGACUGAGACACGGCCCAGACUCCUACGGGAGGCAGCAGUGGGGAAUUUUGGACAAUGGGGGAAACCCUGAUCCAGCCAUCCCGCGUGUGCGAUGAAGGCCUUCGGGUUGUAAAGCACUUUUGGCAGGAAAGAAACGUCAUGGGUUAAUACCCCGUGAAACUGACGGUACCUGCAGAAUAAGCACCGGCUAACUACGUGCCAGCAGCCGCGGUAAUACGUAGGGUGCAAGCGUUAAUCGGAAUUACUGGGCGUAAAGCGUGCGCAGGCGGUUCGGAAAGAAAGAUGUGAAAUCCCAGAGCUUAACUUUGGAACUGCAUUUUUAACUACCGAGCUAGAGUGUGUCAGAGGGAGGUGGAAUUCCGCGUGUAGCAGUGAAAUGCGUAGAUAUGCGGAGGAACACCGAUGGCGAAGGCAGCCUCCUGGGAUAACAC
rnacentral:rRNA from 1 species